GGGGGCGAUCUGGAUUCGACGCUGGUAACGAAACCCAAGGUGCAUGCCGAGAGGGUAGUGACUCUCGUAAAUCAAUCGCUGUAACUUUUAUAGUUGCCAACGACGAAAACUACGCAUUAGCCGCUUAAACUAAAAAAUUCGUUUUUUAGAAUAAGUUAAGCUUGACUCGGGGCGGAUGUGCCCAUGUAUUCAAACCGAGUGCGCGUCUCAUGGGACCGCUGCCAAGCCCCGCUUGUGGCUGACACAGCUAAAACUAAAGCAAGCUCGCCUUUUAAUCCCUGUUCG
rnacentral:tmRNA from 1 species